GACGAACGCUGGCGGCGUGCCUAAUACAUGCAAGUUGAGCGCUGAAGGUUGGUACUUGUACCAACUGGAUGAGCAGCGAACGGGUGAGUAACGCGUGGGGAAUCUGCCUUUGAGCGGGGGACAACAUUUGGAAACGAAUGCUAAUACCGCAUAAAAACUUUAAACACAAGUUUUAAGUUUGAAAGAUGCAAUUGCAUCACUCAAAGAUGAUCCCGCGUUGUAUUAGCUAGUUGGUGAGGUAAAGGCUCACCAAGGCGAUGAUACAUAGCCGACCUGAGAGGGUGAGCGGCCACAUUGGGACUGAGACACGGCCCAAACGCCUACGGGAGGCAGCAGUAGGGAAUCUUCGGCAAUGGACGAAAGUCUGACCGAGCAACGCCGCGUGAGUGAAGAAGGGUUUCGGAUCGUAAAACUCUGUUGGUAGAGAAGAACGUUGGUGAGAGUGGAAAGCUCAUCAAGUGACGGUAACUACCCAGAAAGGGACGGCUAACUACGUG
rnacentral:rRNA from 1 species